GAUGAAGAACGUAGCGAAAUGCGAUACUUGGUGUGAAUUGCAGAAUCCCGUGAACCAUCGAGUCUUUGAACGCAAGUUGCGCCCGAAGCCAUCAGGUUGAGGGCACGUCUGCCUGGGCGUCACAUAUCGUUGCCCAAUGCCUAUUGCAGUGCAAUAGGAAUUUCUAGGGCGAAUGAUGGCUUCCCGUGAGCGUUGUUGCCUCGCGGUUGGUUGAAAAUCGAGUCCUUGGUAGGGUGUGCCAUGGUAGAUGGUGGUCGAGUUAGAACGAUACCGAUCAUGUGCAUGCUCCCCAAAAUAUGGCCUCUAUGACCCACACGCGUCUUUUGACGCUCAUGACGAGACCUCAGGUCAGGAGGGGCUACCCGCUGAAUUUAAGCAUAUCAAUAAGCGGAGGA
rnacentral:misc_RNA from 1 species